UACGUAGGGUGCAAGCGUUGUCCGGAUUUAUUGGGCGUAAAGAGCUCGUAGGCGGUUUUGAAAGUCAGGUGUGAAACCUCCAGCUCAACCUGGAGACGCCACUUGAUACUUCAAUGACUUGAGUUCGGUAGGGGUAAGCGGAAUUCCUGGUGUAGCGGUGAAAUGACACAGAUAUCAGGAGGAACACCGAUGGCGAAGGCAGCUUACUGGGCCGAUACUGACGCUGAGGAGCGAAAGCGUGGGAGCGAAC
rnacentral:rRNA from 1 species